AUGACUGGCGGAAUGUAGCUUCGAUUUCGGUUGAAGUGUUAUAGCCUCUGGUAGAUGUGGUGAUUGAGACUGAGGAUUGCAACGAAUAUCCUUUGGGCUAUCCGUCUGGCCUCUGAAAGUUGCUUGGGUGCUGAAAGCUUGCUUAUGGUUAUCUAAGUUAACGGUCAAUAGGUUAGAACGUGAUUACAUUCGUUAAGGAUGUUGACGUAA
rnacentral:rRNA from 1 species